GAUGAACGCUGGCGGCGUGCCUAAUACAUGCAAGUCGAGCGAACAGACGAGGAGCUUGCUCCUCUGACGUUAGCUGCGGACGGGUGAGUAACACGUUGAUAACCUACCUAUAAGACUGGGAUAACUUCUUGAAACCGGAUCUAAUACCGGAUAAUAUAUUGAACCGCAUGGUUCCAUAGUUAAAGACGGUUUUGCUGUCACUUAUAGAUGGAUCCGCGCCGCAUUAGCUAGUUGGUAAGGUAACGGCUUACCAAGGCAACGAUGCGUAGCCGACCUGAGAGGGUGAUCGGCCACACUGGAACUGAGACACGGUCCAGACUCCUACGGGAGGCAGCAGUAGGGAAUCUUCCGCAAUGGGCGAAAGCCUGACGGAGCAACGCCGCGUGAGUGAUGAAGGUCUUCGGAUCGUAAAACUCUGUUAUAAGGGAAGAACAAAUGUGUAAGGAAAUAUGCACGUCUUGACGGUACCUAAUCAGAAAGCCACGGCUAACUACGUG
rnacentral:rRNA from 1 species